GAUGAACGCUGGCGGCGUGCCUAAUACAUGCAAGUCGAGCGAACAGAUGAGGAGCUUGCUCCUCUGACGUUAGCGGCGGACGGGUGAGUAACACGUGGAUAACCUACCUAUAAGACUGGUAUAACUUCGGGAAACCGGAGCUAAUACCGGAUAAUAUAUUGAACCGCAUGGUUCAAUAGUGAAAGACGGUUUUGCUGUCACGUAUAGAUGGAUCCGCGCCGCAUUAGCUAGUUGGUAAGGUAACGGCUUACCAAGGCGACGAUGCGUAGCCGAACUGAGAGGGUGAUAGGCCACACUGGAACUGGGCCAGGGUCAAGACUACUACGGGAGGCAGCAGUAGGGAACCUUACGCAAUGGGCGAAAGCCUGACGGAGCAAGGCCGCGUGAGUGAUGACGGUCUUCGGAUCGUAAAACUCUGUUAUUAGGGAAGAACAAAUGUGUCAGUAAAUAUGCACGUAUUGACGGUACUUAAUCAGAAAGCCACGGCUAACUACGUG
rnacentral:rRNA from 1 species